UUUAAAGAGAGUUUGAUCCUGGCUCAGGACGAACGCUGGCGGCGUGCCUAAUACAUGCAAGUCGAACGAACGGAGGAAGAGCUUGCUCUUCCAAAGUUAGUGGCGGACGGGUGAGUAACACGUGGGCAACCUGCCUGUAAGUUGGGGAUAACUCCGGGAAA
rnacentral:rRNA from 2 species